GAUGAACGCUGGCGGCGUGCUUAACACAUGCAAGUCGAGCGAGAAAUUUACAUAUGAUUCUUUGGAAGAUUAUAUAAAUGGAAAGCGGCGGACGGGUGAGUAACGCGUGGGUAACCUGCCCUAUGCAGGGGGAUAACACAUUGAAAAGUGUGCUAAUACCGCAUAAGACCACAGAAUCGCAUGAUUUAGUGGUAAAAACUCCGGUAGCAUAGGAUGGACCCGCGUCUGAUUAGCUAGUAGGUAAGGUAACGGCUUACCUAGGCAACGAUCAGUAGCCGACCUGAGAGGGUGAACGGCCACAUUGGGACUGAGACACGGCCCAAACUCCUACGGGAGGCAGCAGUGGGGAAUCUUGGACAAUGGGGGCAACCCUGAUCCAGCCAUGCCGCGUGAGUGAUGAAGGCCCUAGGGUCGUAAAGCUCUUUCGCCAGGGAUGAUAAUGACAGUACCUGGUAAA
rnacentral:rRNA from 1 species